rnacentral:lncRNA from 1 species
ACCUGCUUUUUCACGGGUUGGGAUGGCCAUUUUAUCGUUUUUACGCGUUUGUAGGGUCUGACCUAAUAGCUUUUUUACAUGGAUCAAUAUUUUAACGGUUAUUUUAUGAGUCGGAGUAUUCUACGGGUACGCUAGAGAUGCUCUUAGGGCAUGUACAAUGGAGGCAGCACCUUGGUGCUGCCCUAGCCAUCCACAUAGAUAAACUGAAAUGAAGCUACUAGUCUAUGUCACAAUCACCCAAUGGAAGCUACUCCCUUUAAUGACAUGAUCACACUUUUUCUUUUACAGCUACAUUUCAACACAUGCAACCUUCAGUUCAUUUAAACAUUACCAUCAACCUUUUGAAUCAACAAUAUCAACAAGCU